AAGAGGAGUCUUUAAUUCUAAAUAUAUUAAAAAGUAUCAACAUGUAAUCUUCCUUUGGCCUUACUUUUAUCACUAACUGACAAGUGAUCUCCAAUACAAUCUUUAACAUAACCAUUAUCCCUUUGAACCACAUGAAGAUCAGCCACCUUAGCUUCUUUUGGGAAGAGUUAUAAUUUGUCAAUUUAUCAGUUAUCUGUUAUCAGGUGAUAAAUUUAUUGCCAGUUAUCAAUUAUCUGUUAUUGCUGAUAAGGUUAUCAUUAUCAAUUUAUCAGUUAUUGUGAUAAAUAUUUUUGUUAUCACGCCCAGCUAUGCUGCUAUCCCUCUUAUAGGGAAUGUCAGUCAGGUACACAGACAGAUAGAAAGAUAUAUUAAAUAUUACAAACUUAAGCAUGUGUUGCUAGAAACAAUGGCACAUAAUAGAACCAAAUUAUGGAACUUAAGACUGAGUGAUUUACAGAAUACAGGUGAAACCCAUACACUCACAUGAAAUGCACACUCAUUUUUGAGGCCAUAUGAUUGAUGAACUAGUUGUGUGCUAGCAAUACAAACCCAAAACACUAUAUACCAUAUCAACAACUACCUACAUACUCUGGGAAAGUAGGAAACCAUUAUAAAAUAGUGCUAAAUUGGUGGCUAUCUGCAUCAGAGAAAAUUGGUAAAGGAUUAAUCCUCUACAGUGUUUUCAUAUCAACUGAGGACGUGAUGCUGCCAGUCAUGUCUUCCAUCUUACAGUGGAAAGUAACAAAAAGGACACCAUUCAACAGAAAUGUUUCACUACUGCUCUCAUUUCCCACUACAGCAAUGUCUUAGCUGUCACAUACACUGGUGGACUGGCCAAGCCUUCUUAGAGCAGAGAGGUGACAUGUAUGAGCAGCUCCCACACUAGCAAGGAACUUCACUUCAACAUGUCAGGAUGCUGUCAGCAACAAAGACCAAAGACAUGUUGGAGCAGCUCAGCCAAGCCACAUCCUGACCAAUAAACUAUAUAAUUUAUGUGCAUGUGCUGAUUUUUCUCACUUUUUCAUUUCCAUAUAGAAUUGUGUCAUUAUCUCUACCUUCUUUUUUCACAACUAUGUAACAACGCUCCAUCACUUGUCAUUGCUCUUCCAUAUUCAUCCAAACCUACCAAUAUUUACAUAAAUUUUCUCAAACUAACUUUUUUCUACAACAGCAUUCAUAACAACCUCAUCUUUGAAGAACAUGGAAGCACUUAGAAGCUAAUCUGAAGCAGGAUUAACUGGCACAUGAGAGGCUGUUGCCCUUACACAGACAGUCAUGGUGGACAUGAGUGCAACAUGUAACAAGUCAGGUCAAGAUGGUCACCAGAAAAGAUUUUGGUCAAUCUCGACUGUCCUGUCACAACAUUCAUUUGUGUAUUUCUAACUGCUACCUUUACCUUGCCAGUUUUCUUAUUGAUUUGAAAUGGCAUAAUCUAGGCCUCAUCAUCAUAAAUCUUUUAACUUCACUUUUAUACAUCAUUUCUCUUUAUAUUUAUUUUCUAAAUGAGAGAAGACAUUACCUCUUAACUAAGGAUCAUCUGAUGUAGAGGUAAAUUAUGGAUUCUUUCUGUAUCAACUAAUUCUCAAUGACUGAUUAUCCUCAAAUAAGGAAGAGUAAGUUAAUUUCACAAAUGACCAGACUACAACUAGUGCCCAAUACUAUACCUAUAAUAAAAGAUUAAUAAAAAUCUGGGUCAAGUAUGAGUAAUUACAGAAAAAUCAAUUAUUCAGACAGCUCUUCUUUAAUACAAGAACAAAAUUAUUAGUAAAUUGCUGUUAAAUGCAUAGCCAACAGAAAUCCAUUCAAUUAAAUGUAGUGACCACAAAAUUAAUCUUGGGACAUGUCUAUCAUUAUGGUCCCAAUAUCUAAGGUGGUGUUCUUUGACUUUCUGGUUGGGAAUCUAGUCCCUGCCUACAGCCUCUCAAGGCUAAAGAUUUAUCUUGCAUUCAAAUCAAUUACUUGAAGUUUCUAUCAUACUCCUGUGGAAAUCAAUUACUUUGGGUUUCCAUCAUACUCCUGUGGGGAAUACAAUAUUUGUGUGUGUGUGUGUGUGUGUUUAAAGAUGUAAUGAUAUAAUAUGUCCCUCUAGGUUGGGGCAAUGAUUGUCUCAUGUUCUCUCUGAGGAAGUUCAGCCUAAAAAUGGAAGUCUAUUGUGUUCAUGGUACACAGGAAAAAGAAGCUAAAUAAACUGAUCUAUAUGGAGGGAUGAAGCCAUAUAAUGACCAGGAGUACAAAGACCUCAAAAUUGAUCACAGGACCUGACAAUCAUUGUGGUUAUAACAUCUUUGAUUUGGUCAGCGGUUUACUCCUCAACAGUGGCCUCCAGUGGCUAAAGAUUUAUCUUGUCUUUAGAUCAGUUUCUCAGUAUUUACUGAUGGGAGCAUUAUAUAUUAGUAAUUGCCAAGAUAGAGAAAUCUCCAAACAAAACUUAUGAAUUGCGAAUCUGUCAACAUAUAAUACUGUGGCUAAUAAAAUGAAUAUAUUAUAGUUAAUUGUAUUACAAGAGUUUCCAAUGAAAUAAUUGGACCAUAACAUCUAUCUUCUGAAUAAAUGUUUGAAGGAAAACUUCACUCCAUUUCUGCAGUACAAGAAAAG